GCCUCGGUAGUCUAAUGGCAUAGGACGUUCGUAUGGAAUACAAGAGAUCCGGGUUCGAUCUCCGGCCGAGGUA
rfam:Trachymyrmex zeteki contig9757, whole genome shotgun sequence.